GCAGGACAGAGCGGGAUCUAUCUUCAAAAUGGUCGCUGCCUUCGAAGACUUUUCCCUCAAGUACGGCCAUUACCACCUCAAUGAAUCAAUGCCUCAAUUAACCAUUGUGCAGAGCAAGCUCAUUCUGCAUAUUCAGCGAUUUUUCCACCGAGAUGCUAGAGAUUUCAUUCUCAACGGAACGGAAAAACAUAACUUCGUCAACAUCUCGUCUAGGAAUUUCCUCAACAACGAUUCGUUGCUGGUUGGUGUCCUGUAAAAGGAUCUUCAUGAGCUACUUCAAUCGAUUCCAUCCAAUAAUGAUGCUCCUGAAAACAAGAGACUUGACACCAUGAUAAUGGCAGCCACGAUGGAUCCAAAACCGGAAAAGCUGCAGCAGAAUAUCACCCUAAAGUUCAGGAAUCUAAAGGUUGUAAUAAAGAAACAAAUCGUAAAGAAAGGAAGCAAAGCUUCCAGUUAAAAUCAGCUAUAAUUACAUUCCUGUUCAUCCGUGCUUGGAUGUAAUUUGUUUUCGAAAAGUAGGAUAUUUGUUUAAAAAAGUUUACCGGAUUUAUUUCAGGUUGCUGAAGGCAAGAGAUAUUGCAUGUUUUGGAGUGACAACAGCGAAAAAAAGUAA